AUUUAAAGAAAGUUUUAAUUACCAUAAAUGUUACCGUUGUUAUCAGUCCAAUUUUAUAUCUCUCUUCAUUCCAUAGCUCCCUAGCCGAUUCUUUUCCCCCCCUUCGUCUUUCUCCUCUCUGUCUCUUUUCAAUUUUUUCUUAUUCUUUUUUAGAUUUGGUUAAAGGCAGGCCAGAAAAACACUCCCACCCGCUUCUCUGCCGUUUCACCGCAUACCAACGCCAACUGAAGAUGGUGACGGAGAACCAGAACUCUUUAGAAAAAGAUUUUUGAAAUCUCGCUAUUAACCCUUUUCACAACUUUCUUUCCCUUCCCACUUCCAGGUUGCUAGAUUAUUCAAUGAAGCUGCUCAGAUGUCUCCUGAGGAUGUUGAUGUACACAUUGUCCUUGGUGUUCUGUAUAAUUUGUCGAGUGAAAAUGAUAAGGCCAUUGCAUCUUUCAAAACUGCUUUGAAACUUAAACCUAAUGAUUAUUCUCUUUGGAACAAGCUUGGUGUAACACAAGCCAACAGUGUGCAGAGUGCUGAUGCAAUAUUAGCUUAUCAACAGGUUGCCUCUUCAUGAUUCCCCCUUGAAUAGUGGUGGCCUAUCUGUAUACCACCUGAUAUGUUGAUUUCAUAAUUACUUUUUUUAUAAUUAAAAAUUUAUUUUCCCUCUCCUAAAAUUUUGGGGUUUUCUUUACUAAGUUGGAGUACCUGUAACGUGUGAAAUUCAAAAUAUAUGAGUACUAGGAUUUUACUAAGGAUCACAAAUUGUAUGGUGUGUUGCUCACUAUUUUGCAUGUUAGGCCAGAAUAAAAAAAAAUGAAUUAUGAAGGUGUUGACAAUGUUGGCAAGGGUGCUAUAACUACCUGAACCAUUUGAGGUGCAAGAUGUAAAAAAGGCACUUUUUUGAGUAAAUUAAGGUGAAUAUGUAAAUUUUUGCUUCUUGAAUCAGGGGGGCUUUUUUGCUUCUAUACAAAAAAGUGUGCCUAGGACUUGGCUUGUGCUUAAUCAAUUGAAAGGAUGGUAUAAAGAAAUGCAAAACAUGUGAUAACCCAACAUGUCAAUCUUCUUUGUGCCAAACUCAUAUGGGUUGCAUCAUCUUUUCCUCUAUUUCUCUUCUUUCUUAUCUUUCAAUGGUAAAGUGAUGCAUUGGUGUGUUAUACAGCUCUCUUAUAGGGUUGAAUUAUUUACUUGCUCCAUCUUUGUAACCUUAGGCUGCUAAAAAGAUUCUCCAAAUAACAUCUUGCACCUAGUUGGACCUCAGAAGACAAACUAGCUCUUCUAUUAAGCUCCAUGUAAUUAGUUAUUUGAUUUCUUGGAGCUAUUGGUUAAUUUAGAUGAUUUGAUUACGCACUUCCUCAAUUUACAUAUACCCUUGAUCAUAUCUUUCAAAAUUCCUUUUUUUAAUGCAUUCAGAUCUUGCAUAUGCAGUUUGAUUUGUUUAGCCUCUGUUACUGAGAUUGUCCAUUUAAAAUUAUUUGAUGAUAAACUUCCCUUUGCCUGUGGUGGCCAUAUUUUCAGCACUAUUGAAUUUAGUCUUUUGGUCUAUAUCUGGAUCUUUAGGCACUAGAUUUGAAGCCAAACUAUGUGCGUGCUUGGGCAAACAUGGGUAUCAGUUACGCCAACAAGUGAAGCAUAUCGGACCCUUUCCGCUUGGUUUUGGGCGAUUAGCAUCAGCAUAGUGUACGAAUGGAGUCAGGGGCGAAGGAGGAAGGGAAAGUGCUGGGAUAUAACAGCAAAUACGUGAAGAAAGUGGCGUUACUUUCAACACUGGCUGCACUCCUUGACGAUCCAAUUCUCGCCGAUGUCCCUAAGGAACCCAGUUUGUCCAAUGUCGAUAUCCUAAUCAACCUUGAACUGGGGAGUGCCAUGUGUAUCUCUAUCUUCAAAUUAGAUGGAACCUUCUUCGAUGUUGCAGUGAUGAAUUCAGCCACGGUGAAAGACUUGAAGCUCGCAAUCGAGAAGAAAGUGAUUGAGUUAGAGCAAUCCAAGAUGGGGCAUCGACACAUUUCAUGGAGGCACGUUUGGGCUAAUUUCUGCCUAGCACACCACAAUGAGAAGCUCUUUAAUGAUGGCGCUGCACUUCAGGAUUUUGGUGUUCGAAAUAAUUCUCAGGUACAUUUUUUACCUUAUGUUGUCUCAAAAGGUUCUGGGAGACAUUCUAAGAGUAGAAAACACCGUUUCUUCCAUGGCCUGAACAAGCAUUCAUGAUGACAUGCCAUCAUUUGGGCAUCCCUGUUUUCUGAUCCAACUCAUUCCACAAAUUCACAAUGUUCCAUAGCAAAAUAAAUGUGCUUCUUCCAAUGAAGUCCGUGAAGCCUUGAAGGAUGAACACCUUCAAAAACUAAUCUCUGAUAUCGAUAGCUCCCUAGAUGCAUUGAAUGUCAGUGAUGUUAUUCCCACUUGAAAACCAAGACCUGAGACUUAUUUUCCUUUUUUCUGAUGUUGUUUGUGUGCCUACUAAAUGGUGUUUUUACCUUUUGUUAGAACUCGACAAAUAUAUGGGACUGGAUUUUUUCGCAUUUUCAGUGAUAAGAUUUUAUCUGUGGUCAAUCAAUGACCACAUAUCAUAAGGCCUCUGAAGUUCUUUCUUGAAUACAUCAAUGCCAAUAUAUUUAUAUCCAAGUUUUUCUGCUUGCUCAGAUGAGAAACCAACCUGUUGUCUAUGAGCCUGGUCAGUGCUCGAUGUUUCUGUAAGUUUUGUAUUUUGGUUAAUCGUUAUUCAUAUUUUUCUUGUGUUGUGUAUCUUAUGUUAGUUUUCAUCUUGACGAAAAUGUCUGUAAUGGCCUUCAUGUCAUUUUUUUUACAGUAGAUCCCUACAAUUUCCUUAUCUCUUCCAAUCCCUGUUAAAUUGUUUGUUUUUCCUAUGAAUGGUAGUAUUAUCAUGAGCACUCAAGCUUUAUGAGAUAUGGUCUUUCAAAUAUAUUCCAAAUCUGGUGAUGGGUUAAGAGUUUGAAUCCUUCAUGGAAGGUCUAUUAUUGUUAUAAUUAUUAACACUAAAACCCCAAACCUCAAUUUGCACUGAUUUUUUAACAAAGAAAGGACAAGAAAAAGACUAUAUAUGAUCAUAAGAAUGUAAAUCAUGUAAAUAUAUAAUUUCUGUUAAAUAGUGUAAUGGUUUAAUUUUACUUUUCAUUCUUAUAAGCAUAAGAUUAAAAAUAUUAAUUCAAUAAUUAAUGUUAAUAUGUAUUUGAUUGGUUGGAAAGGUAAAUAGAUAAAAUUGAUGAACUAUAAACCAAAUCUAUCACUAAAUUUAUUAUAUCAAAUUAUAAUUUUUUAAAGGGUAAAAAAUUAAGAGGGGGACUAAAUAUAAAUUUACCCUAUUUUAAAAAUGUAUGGUAUUUAAGGAAGUUUAAAAAAUUCAAGAGGGGAAAAAUAGAAAAUAUUCAUUUUAUGGAAUAGAAUGCAAAAAUUGGGGAAGAAUUUGAAAGUUUAGGAUGCCCAAACAUGUAAGUAUUCCAGUUUUGAAUGGGAUACCACAAGCUAGGGAGCUUCAAAAUUUUAGGGGCUAGUCUCCUGUGAACCCCUCUGGUUCAAUGGUUUUCGGUGUAGGCUGUACCGGAUUGUAAUUUCAGAAAUCUCCUGUUUCCCAAUUUCCCAAUUUCUCAAUGAUCUCUCUCCUAUAAUGCCAUCCAGAGCGAGAACGUCACUGUGUAACAAAAGGCUUUCUGAGUCCAGUUUUACAUUGAUUUCCUCAAGGUCAAAUGGUCGCAACCAAGAUGAUUCUCUGAUCAAACAUGGUGAAUACUGGCCUCAACAUGAUGAACUACAUGGUGCUUGUUUCAAUGCCUCGGAAGUGACCACUGGAAAAACUAAUGAUAACACGAAUGGUGGCAUGGUUGAGAUUUCCGAUGAUGAUAGGUUGGAUAAGAUGUUGGAAUUUUCAUCUAAGAACAUCUGGGAACAUGUUGAAUCUGAUGAAUUUAUGGAACAUAUGCGUCAACGUUUGGAUUCUUAGCCCUCUUCCCUUGGUGGAAAUCAGGCCACGUUAAUUCAGCUCCCAUCUCAUAUUCUACCAUUAAACCAUGAUCCCUUGAUCUCACCAGCUGGGAGAGUUGGUGAUCAUGUUGAUAAUGAUCACCAUGGAGUUUGACCAUUAAACCCUGAUCCCUUGAUCUCAUCAGCUAGGAGAGUUGGUGAUCAUGUUGAUAGCGAUCACCAUGGACUUUGUGUACCAGAAAAUAUGGAGGAUUCUCAGAAAGUGUCAUGUUUUCACCAGCUCAUAAUCCCUUAUGAACAAUUUGCUGACGAGGUUGACCAGCUAUCCAAAUCCCAAGAUAACUCAAAAGGGGAGAGGCAAGUUUCACAUUGCUUUCUUAGCUGUGGGAUUUAUUGAAUUCAGGAAUAAACAUUCCCAGAUGAGACUGAAGCCUGGAAACACUGCAACUGUAGAAGAUCCAGAUGUUUGAAACUGUACAUUUUUUACCUUAUGUUGUCUAAAAAGGUUCUGGGAGACAUUCUAAGAGGAGAAAACACCGUUUCUUCCAUGGCCUGAACAAGCAUUCAUGAUGACAUUCAAUCAUUCGGGCAUCCCUGUUUUCUGAUCCAGCUCAUUCCACAAAUUCACAAUGUUCCAUAGCAAAGUAAAUGUGGUACAAAUAUAUUUAUUCAUCACUCGAGGCAAAGCAAAAGGGAAAGUAGGAGGAUUUUGAGGAGAGUGAAAAAUGGCUGGUCCUGCUUCAUCGGAGAGUGAAGUCAUUCUGAAAAUACUAUUCGGGUCAGGAGGUUGCCUCAGUUCCCACCAUUUUUAUCGGUGGAAAUCAUGAAGCUUCCAAUUAUUUAUGGGAAUUGUAUUAUGGGGGAUGGACGGCACCUAAUAUAUACUUCUUGGGGUUUGCUGGGGUUGUGAAGUUUGGCAAUAUCCGUAUUGGUGGACUUUCCGGAAUUUACUAUGCACGUAAUUAUUGUUUAGGUUGGGUUUGAAGUUCUUUUACUUGUCUAUUUUGUGUUUAUUCUGGAGUUCUUUUAAUGAUGAUUGUUUAUUUACUGCAAGCGAGUGUCAAAUAUGUUAUAUUGAUUCGUAUUUAGGGUGGAGAGUUGAAGCUUUGAAACUGAAAUGAAUUAGCUAGGGAGCUUCAAAAUUUUAGGGGCUAGUCCCCUGUGAACCCCUUUGGCUCAAAUGUUUUUGCGUGUAGGCUGCAUCGGAUUGUAAUUUCAGGUAUGAUUUUCACUUUUACUAACUUUUUAUUUUCAUGUUUUUUUUAGUUUCAAACCUAUGCUUAUCUUCUUUUAGAACAAGUUUUCAUCUCUGUUUUAGUUUUCAGAUUUAUGCAUAUAUUCGUCUUUUUAAAUCUUGUGAUGUCAUUUUUUUGAUAGUUUAUCGCCUGUUAUGUGUUUUAUUUUUUAUUUUUGUCGGUUGUUUGUUUCUCUCUGUAAUCUGUAUUGAGGGACAUUUUCUUGCAAAUCUUUGAGUCCUAUUUAUGAGAUUUUAUAGCGAAGAUAUGUUUCUAACAACUAUAUAAGUAUCUACCCUAAAACCUUAACUGAUUAGCAGAAAAUAAAUGGUGACAUUUUCUUGUUUCUUUCCCUUUUAUUGUUUCCUCAUUUUCUCUUUUCAACAAGUAAAAACACUACAUUUGUUGAGGGAAUAAGAAAACACUAAUUAAAUCAUACCGAGUUUCAAAUAUUUUCUGAGAAAUAUAUUAAAUAUUUUCACAACAACGUUUUAUUAAGUACAGGGAUAUCCCCGUCAAUAAAAAAAAAAAGAAGAAAAAGUACUGGGUUAAUUGCCUUGAAGAAAAAAAGGAAAAGAAAAAGUACUGGGUUAAUUGCCUUCAAAAGAAAAAGGAAAAGGAAAAAAAAAAAGAAUAAGAAAAAGUACAGGGUAAAUUUUCAUUCUUCUUCUGGUGUAGGGAUAUCCCCGUCUUAUCCUUUGUCGGAAUAAGCUAUUCGGAUACUUUUAGUCCCCGGUUCUGUUGUUUUUGUAUCCGGUUCAGUUGUUUUUACAUGUCUGGACCGGGGUACCUGUGGUGCUUAUUCCAUUGGAGGAUAUCCCAUUCGAGGGUAAUCCCGGUUUGGGUAUAAGGAUACCCCGGUUUCGUGUAUUCCAUUCUAGGGAUAUUCCGGUGUGGGUUUAGGGGCUUGGGCUUAGGGUUGGGCUGGUGUUUUUGGGCUUUUGUUGCAGUGUUUGGGGCCGUGGAUUUAAUAAAUCCAACAUGCCAACUCUAGGCCAUUCAUGAUUUUAGUCCAACAAACCAAAUGGACCGUCUGAAUGAGGGGAAAAGAAUAAAGAAGCCAUCCACUAAGAAAUGAAGCUUCACUCUCCUUUGUUAUAGGGUUUAUGAAUAACGUCGAUUUCAAUCUCUCGUCUCCUGAUAUAUCUACAGCAUUAAAAGUCCACCGUUUCAUUCCAUCUUCGUUUGUUGGGUUUCGGCUCAGAUCGACUCGCGGGGAGACAAGAUGUUUGGGAGUAUGAUCCGGUACUUUUCAACGGAACCCAAGCAGAAUAUGAAGCCAAUCGAGUUGAAAACGUCGCCAGAGCAAAUGCAGACCAUAACCAAGUCGAUGAUACUUGGGAACGAGUCAAGGAGGUUGGAUUGAGAGGCCUUACCAGCAAGAGGCACAUGAAGAUCGUGCUGAGAUGGAUGAGAGAGAGACAAAAGAUUAGGCUAAUAUGCAACGUUGUGGGGCC